UACGGGGGGGGCAAGCGUUGUUCGGAAUUACUGGGCGUAAAGGGCUCGUAGGCGGCCAACUAGGUCCGACGUGAAAUCCCCAGGCUUAACCUGGGAACUGCGUCGGAUACUGGAUGGCUUGAAUUCGGGAGAGGGAUGCAGAAUUCCAGGUGUAGCGGUGAAAUGCGUAGAUAUCUGGAGGAAUACCGGUGGCGAAGGCGGCAUCCUGGACCGACAUUGACGCUGAUGAGCGAAAGCUAGGGGAGCAAACGGG
rnacentral:rRNA from 1 species